ACGAGUAGGGCUACACACGUGCUACAAUGGCAGAUACAGAGGGCAGCGAAGCUGCGAAGUGGAGCGAAUCCCUUAAAGUUUGUCGUAGUCCGGAUUGGAGUCUGCAACUCGACUCCAUGAAGUCGGAAUCGCUAGUAAUCGUGGAUCAGAAUGCCACGGUGAAUACGUUCCCGGGCCUUGUACACACCGCCCGUCACACCAUGGGAGUGGGCUGCACCAGAAGUAGAUAGCUUAACCUUCGGGAGGGCGUUUACCACGGUGUGGUUCAUGACUGGGGUGAAGUCGUAACAAGGUAGCCCUAGGGGAACCUGGGGCUGGAUCACCUCCUUACUGA
rnacentral:rRNA from 1 species